rnacentral:rRNA from 1 species
UGAACGCUGGCGGCGUGCUUAACACAUGCAAGUCGCACGAGAACGCUUCAGCUUGCUGAAGUAAGUAAAGUGGCGCACGGGUGAGUAACGCGUGGGUAAUCUACCCUCAAAUUGGGGAUAACCCGCCGAAAGGCGGGCUAAUACCGAAUGACAUCUUGAAAACUUAUGUUUUCAGGAUCAAAGGUGGCCUCUACAUGUAAGCUAUUGUUUGGGGAUGAGCCCGCGUACCAUUAGCUUGUUGGUAGGGUAAUGGCCUACCAAGGCUACGAUGGUUAGCUGGUCUGAGAGGAUGAUCAGCCACACUGGAACUGACACACGGUCCAGACUCCUACGGGAGGCAGCAGUGAGGAAUUUUGCGCAAUGGGGGAAACCCUGACGCAGCAACGCCGCGUGAGUGAUGAAGGCUUUCGGGUCGUAAAGCUCUGUCAAGUGGGAAGAACUCAUAUGGUGUUAAUAUCGCCAUAUGCUGACGGUACCACUGAAGGAAGCACCGGCUAACUCC